UGUUUAAGAGAUAGUCCUACAUAACCUGGCACUUUGCCAUUUUUACUACACAAAAUGUUAUCUAUUCCUUUCUGUUGGCAUCAAGUUUUAUGCUUUUGUUUGGAUUUUGGCAACCAUUUACUACUCUUGAAAGAAAAUGAAAUUCUCUCCAUCUCCCUUUUUGUUUUUGUUCUUUUGAAUCUAAAUUUUAUUAGAACUUCUUUGCAGUCCUAGAGGAGGUCAAAUCAAAAUAAUAAAAAAUGAUAUUGUAACUUUCCUUGGCAAUGUGCUUAAUUCUUCCAAUAGCUUAAUUCAACAUGGAUAACUAAAUAACAUGGAUACCUUCAUGCAAGUUCUGAAAACAAAUCACACUGAAAAAAUCAUGUUGCUCAAAAAUAAAUACACAAAAGUACAUAAAUAAAUAAAGAAAGAAAGAAAGAAAGAAAAUCAUCAGCAACAAGAAGAAACUCAGUGUGUCUUCAGAUAUCUGAUGAUGAUGAUGAUGAUGAUGAUUUAUGGUCUCAUUAACAAUAGAUAUGAUACGAACUCAAAUGCCUUUACAAAUAGCAAACAAUUAGGAUGAUCAUUAAAGCACACAAAGACGAAGAAGGAGCAGAAGCCAUGGCAGUAUGGAAAGAUAACAAAAAAUGCAAUUCUAGCCAUGAUUGAUUAGACACAUGGCAAACAAACAUACAUCAAACUCUGAAGACAAGUUGCAGCAUUAGCUGGGCUGAGGGUUCACGUGAGACUAUUUGGAGCACACUAGAGAGAGCGAUAGAGAGAGAGAGCCCUGGCAUUGUCAAUGCCCCCUCUCCUUUACAAUAAUGGGCUCACAAUAACUUUGCAGCAGUCUCCAGUGGGGGGAGGGGGAGUUUUUUAAGUGAGUGGGGCAUGUAAUAAAAGCCUUGAUGCCCUCGAGGAAGGGAGUGCCCAGUGGGGCAAUGAAUGUCUCCACCUGAUAUAAGCAAAUAUGCGGACUUGCUUCAAAGUUGGCUGGCGUCCACUUCUGUCAGAUGGUGGAGAGUGGACAUACACUCUGAUUUAUCUUGCUUCAUCCACCUGUCUCUUUGCCAUGCUUCAUGAAUGACAAACACCCUCUUUAUUUGCUUCAUAUUGACAAAUAAUAAUAAAAUCAACUUUAUUUGUUAGUCUGCAGUAACCCUAAAAUUAUCAAAUAAUAACAAGUGGGUGCAUCAAACAGGGUGCGGUGUUUGAAUUGCUACUGUGAAAUGGUGGAUCUGGUUGAUAGAAAAUGUCACAUGGAGGAUAGAGCAUUGUAUUGUUUUGAAAAAAAGUACAAGCAAAAAAAAUGAAAAUGAAACGCUGACAAUACAAUUGAGUUUAUCUUGUUAGAUAACUUGCAUGAAAAUGCCAACCCAACAAGGUGUCUGCAUUAGAAUUGGGAUGGAUUGAAAAUUGUCAUGUGAAUGAAAUUGCAAACACGAUGUGGAAUCCGAGAGUAGGAUUUGUGGAAUUGUGACCCUGUUUUAUUGGCAUGAAGACACAUGGGGUUUGAGGGUUGGGAUUGCGAGAGUUACGUGUUUUUUUGCUCGUGUGUUAGAGGGUUUGGAAUUAUGUGAAAUGGAUUAUUUGGGAAUAGAGUAGAAAGAGAGGAUUUUGAUGUUUUUAGUCUGUUGGAAUUUUCCAAGAUGCUGUGCAAAAGAGAAAGAAAAAGACAGCCACAAUUGUAGUGUUUUGAUAAACUGAAAGUGAUUAAGGUUAGUACACAAACCAGUGGAGUACAUAAAAUUGAAACUUAUCCAUUUAACCUUAAAAGUGAAGUAACCAUCACAUUUGGUUGAAUUUGCAAUAGAUCAUUCUUCUGCACCAUUACAACAUCAAUUUCAUCUUGUGAUGUCAUUCACAAAAUGGGGAUUGAUCUGCACAGCCCAAUGCCUUAUCAACAUCAUAUUGUUUGUCUCCAGCUGCAAAAAACAUUAUUAUAUUAUUAUUGUUAUUAACAUAAAAUUUACAAAUUUGCAUGUACAUGUCUGCUGGUUGCUGUGACUUGUGAGGCAAUGUACAAUUGACUCACAUGAGAAUGAGGAGAAACAUGCUGACACUCUGAAUAAAUGUACACUUGAAAAGAAUAAUAAUGAAAAAAAAAAAGAAAAAGAAAAAGGAAAAACACAUGAAAGCAAGUAAGAAAGAAUGUCAAACACAAGAUGCAGACCUUUGACAUCCAGCCCUAAAGUUUUUAGUAAGGACUUAGUGCAGAUCAUGCAUGAAUCACUUGAAUUGUCAUUGAAAUGGCUCCAGUUUACAUUGGGAGCUG
rnacentral:lncRNA from 1 species